ACACAAACAGGUCUUCUUUUGCUCAGCACAUCCGAUCCUGACACUUGCAAUAGAGACAGGUGAGAAAGAAUGAAGACACAUUUGAAUGAACUUCCUCUGAAGCCCCAGAGGAAGAUUCCUCUUUUGUCACAACACGUUACAAUGCUGCAGAGAUGCACUAUGGUGGCAGGACGUCUCAGAUGUCCUCAGAUCAGUAUCUCAUCCCUGCUAGCCCUGAACUUUUUAUUUUGGAAGAAGAAGUUCUGCAAGCAAAAGAAUCAGGGAGCUGCCUUUGUGCCAUCAGGAGAGCAACCAAUGACCCAGUUCUGCAAAGGAAGCUUCUCAGCAGAGCUGGGACGACUGAGCUGAUUCAGUCUCAGCCUGCCCUGCCGGUUCUCAGUACACGUGCUCUGACUCUUUACUAGUUAGCUAUGCACACACCCCUUCCCACCGUUUUUUUUCUUGUGACUAUUUUGUUUAAGGUUGUCAUCUUCUUAUUACCUUCACAUUUCAAGGCAAUAAUAAAUCAAAAUUAAUAAAAUCUCUCAGAAUAAAAGUCUGCCUUCAAGAC
rnacentral:lncRNA from 7 species